CAUGAGAUACUUGGACUCAACAAUCGAAGACAGCUCAACAUAAGCUUUUGAACCUAAGAUCAGAAGCUCUAACAUAUCAUGUUCACAUUUUGGGAAUACAUCACUAUGUCCCUCAUGGAUGUCACAUAUAUGAUUGAGAACUGACAACCACUUUGCCUUGACAAGUUCUUCAUCACCAUUGCUGGAAGCAGCACACCAGUAUACAUGGUUGGAAAUUGAUUGGGCCCAAUUCGACAAUAAUUUGCAACCACUUUUUUUUGAUGCUGCUAAAAUUUUCUUUUUGAUUCCUGUUGGAUUUUGAUUGUUGAUGAAAUGUGCAAAAGAUGCUAAACUUGUGGGUUCCAAAGAGUAUUCAAAAAUCGUGGGUACAGCAUCCUUCUUAAGGCGAAGCCGUCCUGCUGUCCAUCCUACUGAUUGCAUCGCUUCAAAAUUUUGCACGAAGCACGAACUCUCGAAAUGUUGCGAGCACAAUUUUGAGCUCUUUGUUGGCUUCCAAUUUUUGCGUCGGAUUUUUUCAAUCCAAAUAUCUCGCAUACGCUUGUUUUCGGGAAACGAAAAAAAAGAAACCUUUUGCUGCGUUUCGUGGUUCUUAGAAGAACCGUUUUUACAAUUAAAUGCGGCACAAUAAACCAUAUUUUCAAUGCUAAAUUGUCGUGUUGUUAAGAAGUUACCAAUAUAUUUUGAACGAAUCGCGCAAUUGACCGCGUU